rnacentral:rRNA from 1 species
AACAUGUUUAUUAAUCGACAUUACACGAUUAUUUUUACUUUUUUAUAAAUUUUAUAUACCUCCGUCCAGAAUAAAUUUUUAAUAUUUUAUUCAAAAUAAUAUUAUAAUAAUUUAGGUAAAGGUGUAGACUUUAAAUUAGUUUAAAUGUGUUACAUUAAAAAUUAUUUAAGAAUUAUUUUUUAUAACAAUAUAUGAAAGAGGAUUUAUAAGCUACUUUUUAAUUAAAAUUUUAACUUGAAUUAAAAAUAAAUGCG